rnacentral:lncRNA from 1 species
AAAGAUUGCAGAAUAAAUAUCUUCCAAACGGCGCCGUAACGGAGAGAUAGCCUGUCGAGAUCUCAGUGAACACGCGUCGGGAAGUCAGCCGUCGAUGGACACGAUUCGCGGGACCCGCAGGUGGUCCAGCUGGAUUCUAAUGUUGCAAAAGCCGGUCAGCUAAACCGGGCAGCUCAGCCUCUUUAUAAACACUCCAUCAUCGCAUUGAUUCUCAACACUGUGAAAAAACAUUUCUAAGCUUUUAGCAUUUUCGAAUCAACAAAAAAAGUUCUCCCUUCUCUGUCUAACCACAAAUGGCGUUCUCAAAGUCUUCCGUCGUUGCUCUCGUCGCGGUCCUCGUCUCCGUCGUAGCUACCGUCGCUUCCGCUCAAGUCGAGGCUCCAGCUCCAAGCCCUACGUCCGGAUCUGCUGCUUUCUCGCCGUCGAUCGUUUCAGCUGGUGUUGCAGCCGUCGCAGCUCUUGUUUUCGGCUCUGCUCUUCGGAUCUAAGUCUGUGCGAUGGAGAUUCGUAUUUUUGAAAAAAUUAUUGAUCGGGUAUAGCAUUAUUAUUAUUCAUGAUGUUCGUGUGUAUUCAGGAGCUAUAUAGAUCUCUUUCUAUUUUUCUAUUAUCUAAUACCUUCAUAUCUGUAUGAGGGUACUAUAUUUAUAUCUAGAGUAUUGUGGUUUUGUGUGUUUCUACUAUGGUUUUUGAUAUGACUCUUAUUCUAUUUAUUUAUGGAUCUGAUGUUUCUCAGUUUAUAUCUUUCUCGUUCUUUACAUAAUCGGUUUAUCAAACUUCCUCUGCUUACAAUUACGAUACGAGCUUGUUUCACAAUUAUAACGUUAUACUCCAAAUCGAAUCACCCCAACUAAGAUUUAACUAAAAUCUGAAUCUAAGUGAUUGUCAUUUGGAUUCAAUUUAUAUUUUUGGUGGAAUCUGAAUCGAGAUUGUUUCUCGCGAGGUUCAAUUUCUCGACCCGACAACAUCCAAUUUUCUGUUGUCGGAACCACAUCUUUUGUUUUGUUUUUUUUUUCUCGUUAGUGAAACGCAUGUCCGAAGGAGUAGUGUUUACCUCGACAUUGUUUUAAAAAUUGAGGUCACAUUUUCGUGUAAAAUCAAUAUAUGGAAGAAUGAAAACCGAUAAAGGGAAAAAAAGUCGAGCGUUUCGUUUGGAGUAGGUAGAAAAUUGAGGUAACAACUUUACAAAGAGGUCCCUGAAGGAAAUUCAAUUUCUUCUAUCACCCGUCGCCCGUCGGACAUUUACCAGUGCUAUUUUUUUAGUUUCAUAGGCGUGUUUUCUUUUUCUAAUCACACAAACGGCAAAGGACAUUGUUAUUAACGAAGUCAAAGUUUUCGUGAUGAAUACCAGUUUUGGUCGGAAUUGAGAAUUUUUUUUGGGAAUUUAUUUGAUGAUAAGGAAAGUUGAUGACUUCUUUCUGGCAUAAAUUUAAAAGUUGAAGCUUUUUUCAGACCGUGAGAACUGUUGAGUAAAGCAUCUCCAAUGUAAAACUCCAUUUAAAAAAAAAAAUAAGUAAAAAUAAAAAUUGAGUAAAAUUGCUCUAAUUCUACUUAAUUUCUUAUUCUACAAACAAAAAAAUAGAUUAUUUAAUUUAUGGAGUAAAUUUCAUUAUGGAGUGAGAUAUAAAAUUGAGUUGGAGCAUUCAUUAUUUCAUAUUCAUUUUUACUCUAUUUUAGAUGAAAAAAUGGAAUACUGAUGAAAAUGGCCUUAGAAUCGAAAUAGUUCGCGUUUAUUUGCAUGUAACGUGGUGUGAAUUGUGAUAUAUGUGUGAUCCUGCACCAUAUUUAAUAUCCUCUCUAAUCAAUUUUCCACGCUGUCCCACCCAAAUCCUCCUAACUGGCUACGCGCAUCUCAACCUAUCGCAUUUUACGCCAUUAAUCCAAUUUAAUUGCAAAACUUUUAUGUUCACAAACAAUGAUUCACCGUUUGGUUUUUAGGUUUAGUUGAAUGUAUUUGCCUCAUGAUUGGUGCCUUUAUUUUGUAGGUAGGUCACCCCUGUUGUUAUUUUCAAUGAAAAAAAGUUAUUCCUUGAAAUAAAGAUAACAACAUUCCAUCAACCAAAAGAAAGAAAAAAGAGUCGUUAUGUUAACGGUAAGAGACAAAGAGUCGUCGGUCAUUGAUAUCAUCUUUGACUGCUGUUAUGCUAAGCUAAUCAAUGCCGACUCCCCGGAAAUGACAAGGCGACAUGCAAUGAUGCAAUAGAGUAACAUACUAACAUGAAUAUGGUUUUUGAGUUUUCAAAAGAAACGUGUUAAAGCAUGUUUGUUUGUAAAAGCGGAUGAUUAAGUUACUUCAAACAAUUUGUUCUAAUAAGC